rnacentral:misc_RNA from 1 species
GAUUAGUUGAGUUGAGUUGAGUUGAUUUGUUCUACAUCAUAAACUCUUACCUGUUGUGAUCUAGAUUAGUUAUCAACUCAUGUUGUUCUAAUAGUUCCCUAAUAAUGUUAGGGUGAUCAAGCAUUACACCUUAUGUAGCAAUAGGGAUUGUAAUUUUUAAGUUUUGUAUCAAAUCAAUUCAAUGAUGGGAAGAACCUUGGCCUCAUGAUUCUGUGCUUAUAAGGGGUGGAGUAAUGAUAAUCCUACCAAUUGUUUUGACACCAAAUUUGAUCUUUUGUAUGGUUUGUUUUCUGUUGGCAUAAUUUUCUUCAAAAUUUUUGUUACUAAUAGUGGUUGGGUUGUUCUUAUACUUUGUGUUUAGAAUUUCACAUAAAGACAUAACAUUUGAAGUAUCAUCAUGCUAGCUUCGAUUUAAAUCUAUUCGUCAAACAUUCAUGUAACUAUCACAAUGGCAUUUGGUGUGAAAAGGUUAUGGCAUCUUCACAUCUUUAGAUUAUAUUAUAAUGAUUCAUGAACAAUGCAACGCAAGUCAUUGAGACAGAUAUUUGAAAAUAAUAACUUAUUGCAUAUGGAUUAUUUAUUUAUUUUUGAGAGUUAGUUUAGGUCGUAUGCACACAAACACUUCCAGACAUCAAUUCCACUUUAUCAUAUUGUUGAUACGCUAUAUUUCACUAACUAAUCUCUAGAGUUUUCAGGUUGUGCUAUAUUG